rnacentral:lncRNA from 1 species
GGAGUCCCAAUGCAUAGAAUUGUUGUGAACAGAUUUAACUACUGCGUAGUUUUGUGACCAAAUGUAAGAGUGACAACUAGGCAUUGAAACUCUCCAGGACAGAAAUGAGGAAACUACUCCAGAGAGCAUUUGGAGGCUUGAGAUCUCUCAGACCUGGAAGGACUCUUCCUAUAGAAAUAAUACAGGAUGCUCAGUUAAACUAGAACUCUGGAUAAACAAAUGCUUUCCUGCCCCUUGAGACUGAAUAAUUCGUUGCUGCGAAUUUUCUUCCACACAUUGAGGGAAGGAAUGAUUGAAGCUAACUCCUCAAACAGACUUCUGCCCAGAUGCACAGUACGUGUUGCCAAAGCCACAUGGUCAUCCCAUGGGUUCAUAUCCAAAGUUUGGACUUUCCUUCCAGUCUUUGGUUUUAACACUCUUGUGGAAAGAAGCACAAUGGUCAAAUGAAUCCAAGGAAACAGCUUUCCUCCCCAUAGACUGCAGUAGAUAGGUCACAUUACUGAGUCCUUCCCAGUGAACUUCCUAGUUGGGAUUUAAGGUAUCAGUCACAUUCUUUUCUUUAUGGGCUUAGAACUAGUGAAAACAAUAGACACAGAGCCUGAAAUAUCAACUGGAUUUAUAACUACAACUGGCCCAGAUGCCCUGGCUGCACAGUCAACCAAUUAAAUCAGAAUCUCUGGGUGGGGCUCAGUUGUUCUAGGUGUUUAAGCUCUGCUGCUGAUUCCCAUAUUAAGCCAAUGCUAAAAAAGUGGGAGGUUCCAAGAACCAAGGGCAUCAGUACCACCUGAGACCUUGUUAAUGUGUAGAAUCACCACUUGCAGCUUCUCGGUAUUCCCAGGUCAUUCAUUUUCAUGUUAACAUUUCGGAAGCACCCCAGAACACUACUUCUUAAACUUUAGCUCUUAAAAGAUCCCCUAGAGAGCUUUCGAAAACAGCAGUUCCUGGGCCCCAACUCCAG